rnacentral:rRNA from 1 species
GAUGAACGCUGGCGGCGUGCCUAAUACAUGCAAGUCGAGCGAACGGACGAGAAGCUUGCUUCUCUGAUGUUAGCGGCGGACGGGUGAGUAACACGUGGAUAACCUACCUAUAAGACUGGGAUAACUUCGGGAAACCGGAGCUAAUACCGGAUGAUAUUUUGAACCGCAUGGUUCAAAAGUGAAUGACGGUCUUGCUGUCACUUAUAGAUGGAUCCGCGCUGCAUUAGCUAGUUGGUAAGGUAACGGCUUACCAAGGCAACGAUGCAUAGCCGACCUGAGAGGGUGAUCGGCCACACUGGAACUGAGACACGGUCCAGACUCCUACGGGAGGCAGCAGUAGGGAAUCUUCCGCAAUGGGCGAAAGCCUGACGGAGCAACGCCGCGUGAGUGAUGAAGGUCUUCGGAUCGUAAAACUCUGUUAUUAGGGAAGAACAUAUGUGUAAGUAACUGUGCACAUCUUGACGGUACCUAAUCAGAAAGCCACGGCUAACUACGUG